ensembl:lncRNA
AGUCCAGCAAAGUCAAUGCACAGUGCUUUGCCAAAUAAAGCAUAAGUUACUGCCAAAAAAAUUAACAGAAAACACAACACAGUAAAUAGAUUGGUAGCUUAUGUCAAACAUUUGCCAGUAUGGGUAAGCUACAGUAUUGUUGUAUGAUAGGAGCAGGACAGCAUAGCCCAUUUCAUCUCAGAGCCUAUACCAAGGCAGGAGAUAGAAACACAAUCAUCUAUUUAUAAACUAAAUAUUGAACGACAAUUCAUCUUUUGGAUAGACGUGCGGGCUGUAGCAUUGUACUUUUAAAUUGUUUUGAAGUCAAACGAAUCAAGUGUUCGUUAUAGGCAGCAUGCAUGUUUAGUUUGAAAAGGUCACUGUAAAACAUUCUACAGAAAUGUGAUCAAUCUUGGCGAAGUUGCCAUUGCUCUUUCUUUUAGAAACUGCCUAAUUCAAAUAUUUCCAAAAUAUACAGCAAAUACGGGUUAUUGUCACCAUAGAAGGUACAUGGAGGGCUUUUCCUGACGGGGUUAUAAUGCUCGUUCACCUAUGCACAGUUUCUAAGACUGGUCCUCUCUCUCUUUUGCUCUCUCUAUCUCUCUUUCCUCUCUCUCAAUCUCUCUCUCCCCUCUCUCUCUCCUCUCUUUCCUCUCUCCUCUCUCUCCCCUCUCUUUAUCCUCUCUCUCCUCUCUUUCUCCUCUCUUUCUCCCCUCUCUCUGCUCUCUCUCUCCCCUCUCUCCCCUCUCUCUCAAUCUCUCUCUGCCUCUCUCUAUCUCUCUCCUCUUUCUCCUCUCUCUCUCCUCUCUCUCCUCUCAUCUCUCUCAAUAUCUCUCCUCUCUCUCAACCCCCCCUCUCUCUGUCUCUCUCUCUCUCACUCUCUCUCUUCUCUCGCUCUCUCUUUCUCCUCUCUCUCCCCUCUCUCUAUCUCUCUCCUCUCUCCUCUCUCCUUUCUCUCUCUCUCCUCUCUCUCCCCUCUAUCUCUUUCCUCUCUCUCCUCUCUCUCUCCUCUCUCUCUCCCCUCUCUUUCUCCUCUCUCUAUCUCUCUCCUCUCUCUCCUCUCUCUCUCCCCUCUCUUUCUCCUCUCUCUCCCCUCUCUCCUCUCUCUUUAUCUCUCUCUCCCCCCCUAUCUCAAUAUCUCUCUCCUCUCUCUCUCAAUAUCUCUCUCCUCUCUCUCAAUCUCUCUCUCCCCCCUCUCUCUCCUCUCUCUCCUCUCUCCUCUCUCUCCCCUCUCUUUAUCCUCUCUCUCCUCUCUUUCUCCUCUCUUUCUCCCCUCUCUCUCUUUCUCUCUCUCCUCUCUAUCAUGCUCUCCUCUCUUUCUCCCCUCUCUCUCUGCUCUCUCUCUCCUCUCUCUCCCCUCUCUCUCAAUCUCUCUCUCCCUCUCUCUAUCUCUCUCCUCUUUCUCCUCUCUCUCUCCUCUCUCUCCUCUCAUCUCUCUCAAUAUCUCUCCUCUCUCUCACCCCCCCCCUCUCUCUCUCUCUCUCUCACUCUCUCUCUCCUCUCGCUCUCUCUUUCUCCUCUCUCUCCCCUCUCUCUAUCUCUCUCCUCUCUCCUCUCUCUCUCUCUCCUCUCUCUCCCCUCUAUCUCUUUCCUCUCUCUCCUCUCUCUCUCCCCUCUCUUUCUCCUCUCUCUAUCUCUCUCCUCUCUCUCCUCUCUCUCUCCCCUAUCUUUCUCCUCUCUCUCCCCUCUCUCCUCUCUCUUUAUCUCUCUCUCCCCCCCUCUCUCAAUAUCUCUCUCCUCUCUCUCUCAAUAUCUCUCUCCUCUCUCUCAAUCUCUCUCUCCCCCCUCUCUCUCCUCUCUCUCCUCUCUCCUCUCUCUCCCCUCUCUUUAUCCUCUCUCUCCUCUCUUUCUCCUCUCUUUCUCCUCUCUCUCUCCUCUCUCUCUCCCCUCCCUCUCUCCCCCCCCCUUGGCAUCUCUCUCUCUCUCUCUCUCUCUCACUCACUCACUCACUCACUCACUCACUCACACGUCAACAUGUAACACAUAACAUCCACCUGUGGGAUGUAUGAAAUUAAUUGUUGCUUGUUACUGGAGAGUAAGCCUUCUGAAUGGCCCCUUAAGGGAAUCAUGAAUGUUUUCUAUUAUA